GGCCUGAUGGUCUAGUAGUAUGAUUCCUUGUUAGGGGUGUACACCACAUCGAGGAGGUCCUGGGUUCAAUUCCCAGUCAGGCCC